ensembl:lncRNA
GAACAGCUGAUCGGAUCGGCAAAGCGUGUUUCUGGAGUAUUAUGUUUUUGUUGCUGCAAGCGCUUUUUAUGCAGUUUUUGCAAAGCUAUAUGUGGAAGAAAACCGUGACCUAGGACAAGCUGAUGGCAUAAGAUGCCUUCUAGAUUCCCUGCCAUCUGGAGUUCUGUGGAUGUGUGUGAGUGAGCGUGAGUAUUUUGGAGUGGACAUUCAGAGUGAGUUGUGGAUUAAGUUGAAGAGGAGCGUGUGUACCCCCCGCCUUGGACCUUCCCUUCGGACCCCCCUCCACUCCCUGGAACUCUGUGUUAUCGGUCUCACUGUAUAUAUGUAUAUAUUCUCACUUGGUGCCACAUCGUAAAUGAACCUUCACCUUCUCUCUAAACUUCAGAGUCCUGCGAGUGAGUCCUCUGCCUAAUAAUCUGUGACACAAAAUGUGUGAUAUGUUCUCAUUUCCAAGCAUGAGUUCUUAAUAGAAUCUAAUUUACAGUAUCUCCAGAUCUGAAUAAAUUCUAAUAUUUCUAAAAUCCACAGGUUUUAAGAUUAGGCCUAAAAUUCACCCCAUGUUUUUCCUUUACUAAGAGAGAGCAAAUCUGAUUUUCAUCAACAUGAUCAAAUAUUGUAGAUUAGAAUAUUAGUUCACCUAUUCUUACAGAGGAGAAGAAAAUUAGAAUUUAG